UGAUGUUUCUAACAAAAUCCCAGGUUUCUUCAGGGUUACUUGAUAUAAGCAAUUACGAUUCUUCUACCAUUUCAUUCUUAAUGCAUAUUGUAGUGUAGCAUAGUGUCUGGCACUUUUCAGGUACUUAAAAAAAGCUCAUAGAAAGGAAUGAAGAAAGCUGCAACAAGGCAAGGUCAAUUCCACAUAACCCAGACAGGCUCAGCGGCAAGGCAUGCUGGGACUCCAGCAACACGGGAUGGCAGGGAAAUGGGAGAAGCCAAGACAAAGCCAGACCCAGUCAGGGCUGAAAGAAAUAACUGGCUAUAAGGCUGACCUCAAGUGUGGAUGAAAGGCAGUGCAACAUUUAACAUUCUAGGGGGUAUGGUGAACCCAGAAAUGGAUUUAGGCAAGCAAGCAAGGAGGUCCAAAGUAGUGAAUGGGGUGGGGCAGAGCAGCAGGAGCUUUCAGGUGACAGACAGGUUGAAAGGCACUGGACAGUGGAACCAUAAUUCCAGCUUAGUUGAGUAGUGAGUCCUGGUGGGGGGGCCUGGCCCAGGAGAUGAAGUUGGUUUAGUAGGGUGUCAGGGACCCAACCAAAUCUGUUGUUCAAAUGGAACACAGCCCAGAAGCCUAGUGGGAUGACUGAGCCAUCACAGCAGGCACCAGGGCCAGGUCAUAGCUGAGGAGAUAGGGGAGCCUGGGGCUCACCCAAGCCUUGGGCUCAUGGCAGAAGGAAUUGGUUUGGACCUCACUAAGAGGUGGGUAUAGGGCGGCUAACACAACCAGUGCCCUAUCCAGGAUUGGCUCAGGAGCUGCUGGGACAUCCCUCCAAGCAUGACUCCAGUUGACUGAAAUGAGGAGGUGGACUCAGAUGUCCAGUGUCUGAACCGUGAGAAAAAACGGGCUGCUGGUUUGUUUUCAAGGCAUAGCAUGGGUUCAAAAUCAAUGAAAUGAAAACACAAUUUUCUGGCUUCCUUUAUCUUCUCCCCCUGAAAGAUCCUCCACCUCAAAAUCCAUUUCCCUGCACUCCACCACUCCAGGAACAUCAGAUGUCCUGCCUUCUCUUUGUUCACCUCAACCUCGAGGAGCCUGUGCUCAUGUGCUCUCUCCAAGGUCGUCCUUUAGCUAAUAAUCAGCUCCUGUGGGCAGACACCAUCAGGAGUCUACCUCAGGAGGCAGUAUACUGUUGUGAAAAGAGCCCUGGCCUGGCAUCAGACCUGAGUUCCAGCCCUGAAGUCCAAACUGAUUCACUGUGUGCCCUUGGAUGUUUUCCAAGGUCCCUCCUGUUCUCCCAUUCUCAUUUUUCACAUUAUUCUGAUGGAAACAGGGUCAGGCAUGCAGUGAGUGAUGACAAAAUAAAAUGGCCACUUGAAGUUUGUUUCCUUAUGGCGCCACCUCUUUUGUCCUGCCUACCCCUUCACCAAGCUGUUUCUACACAUGCAAAUUUGGUAACUGCAUUGUGUAAAGCAGAGAAAAAGGAAGAGGAUUGGAAAGUUGUUGGGGAACUCUGUGAAAGACACUGGGGAAUAAAAUUGCAUUGAGUGACGUAGGUGCUAAGGCACCCUCCUCAGCACCCCUUUGCAGGCCACUGUGGUAAGCACUCACAGCUACCCCUCCUCUGGAUAAUUGCCCUGACAGCAGCUUCUUGCCACCUACAGCCAAGGAUGACCGCUUGCCUCAAGGUGGGUCAGCUCUCCAGUAUGGCUUAUGUUCCAGAGCUUUCCCCCUGUGGAUUAAGCCAAGGGUGGCAGUUCGAACCCAUCAGCUAUUCCAGAGGAGAAAAGAUCCAGCAAUCUGCUCCUGUAAAUAUUACAGCCUAGGAAACCCAAUAUGGGGCAAUUCUACUCUGUCCUACGGGGUCACUAUGAGUCAGAAUUGACUCGAUGCAACAACAAAAUUUACUUAAUCCCUGGGUGGUGCAAACAGUUAACACGCUGAGCUACUAACCAAAAAUCCACCCAGGGUGCCUUGGAAGAAAAGCCUGGCAAUCUACUUCCACAAAACCAGCCAUUGAAAACCCCGUGAAAUGCUGACACUACUCUGACACAUGUGGGGUCGCCAUGAGUCACAGUCAACUCAAUGACAACUGUUUUUUUUUUUUCUUAAACUCUACUUGAGACCACACUCUUGCUCAGUCCCUACCCUUCCCCAACUAUAUCCUGCUUCCCUCUUUUCCUUACAGGUUUUUCUAAAGAGCACUCUCUUAAUAAACACAUUCACAAGAAUUCCAUCUCAGACUCUGCCUGAAGAGACUUGAUCUAAGGUAAUGUGUUUUCAGUAAAUGAAAAUUAAAUGCCAGUAAGGCGCAAAACCUUCAUGGGAGCCACCAUAAAACUGUAGCUAAAGUAGACCCCCAGAUUAGUUUUUUAAAAAAAAGGAAAAAAGAUUAGGUUACAAAAGUCAGUUUGCAGGGGAGGGAAGCAGGGAAAGACCAAGUUCCUGUUUGUCCCUGGAGGGCAAUAAACCAAGCAGUAUUGUAACCUCACUUUGCCUGAUUCAUUUCCUAAGCACUGCAGGGCAGCUGGGCACUUGCAAAAUAGGGAUAGGCCCCAUUUUCUUGAAUACCCAUUGCUGUCAAGUCGAUUCCAACUUAUAGUGACCCUAUAGGACAAAGUAGAGCUGCCCCAUAGGCUUUUCAACGGUGUACAUCUUUACAGAGGCUGACUGCCACAUCUUUCUCCCGUGGAACAGCUGGUGGGGUCGAAUUGCCAACAUUUGGUUAGCAGCUGAGCGCUUAACCACUGCACCACCAGGGUUCCUACUUUCUUGAAUGUUGUUUUUGUUGUUAGAUGCUGAUGAGUCAGUUCUGACUCAUAGCAACCCUAUGUACAACAGAACAAAACACUACCCGGUCCGGCACUAUCCUCACAAUCAUUGUCAAGCUUGAGCCUGUUGCAGCCAGCAUCCAUCCAUCUCACUGAGGGUUUUUCUCUUUUUUUGCUGACCCUCUGCUUUACCAAGCAUGAUGUCUUUCUCCAGGGACUGGUCUCUCCUGAUAACAUGCUCAAAGUAUGUGAGAAGAAGUCUCACCAUCCUUGCUUCUAAGGCAUUCUGGCUGUACUUCUUCCAAGACAGGUCGGUUUGUUCUUCUGGCAGUCCAUGGUAUAUUCAAUAUGCUUCACCAACAACAUCAUUCACAUGCGUCAGUUCUUCAGUCUUCCUUAUUCACUGUCCAGCCUUCACAUGCACAUGAGGUGAUUGAAAAUAUCAUGGCUUGGGUCAGGAGCAGCAUAGUACUCAAGCUCAACCAGUGGAAGCCCUAUGGAUCACAGCAUUUGAUCUGGAGCCGGUCAUGGGGAUGGUACAGGACUGGGUAGCAUCUCCUUCUGCUGUGCACGGCAACACCACGAGUCAGGGGUCAACUCAACGACAGCUAACAACAAAAAGUUGUAAAUUAAAACUCAGAAGAAUUCAAAAGCUACGAGAAAGAACACAGGGCAGAGGCCUGGUUCAUCAACUGAAUCUACACUUUCUCUUCUGUAAAACAAACAGCAACUACCUCAAGUGGGUUGUUGUGAGGAACAGACUAGUUAAAGACUGUAAGAGCUUAAAGUUCGAUGUCUGGCCCAAGGUAAAUGCUCCCUCAUUCUUCCACAUUUCCUUCCUCCGUCAUUACUUCUCUCAAUUCCUCCCUCCCUUCCUCUUCAUCCCUCACCCAAAACAGUGAUUUAUUAAAUCAUAUGCUAAUAUGGCAAUGUUUAAGGAAUCAGUGAUCCUGACAGUUUCUUCAUGCUAUUCUCACCCUGACUUAUACCCUGAAAAUUUGGAAUAUUAUGAAAAGAUGGUAUGAAAAUUAACUUACAGAAAUGGUUGAAUUGAGUACAGAUUUUCUUUUUUCAGAUGUAUUCAUAAUGCUGGAACCUAGUGAUGCCCAAAUGGAUAGUUUGAAGCUCAAAAUCCAUUUUUACACAAGGAUUAUUAAUGUUGCCAAAUGUACACAGGACAAAAUAUGCCAUGCGGACAACACAGCCUAAUGUUUGAUCUGAUGCUGUUAUUUCCCAGACCUACCACUGGCAGUAUCGACAAAUAUUUUCAAAAUAUAUUAAUUACUGCAGAAGUCUAAUGUUUUGGUUAGAAGCUGUGAUUUUCAGGAUAUAAACUGAUAUACCAAUAUAUUUUUUUUUCUGAAAAAAUUAAGAAACCCCAGGUGCUUGAAAAGAGACGGGUGCGCUAGAAAGUGUUUUUUGCUUUGAAUUGGCUUCCCAACUCUGUAAUGUACUGUGUGAUGUGGGCCAAUUAUUCAUCACCACUAAGUCCUGGUUCCCUCAUUAUAAAAUUACCUAUUAGGAUUGCUAUUAACUAACAGCCACCACAAUACUCAGCAAAAAGAAAGUUCUCAACAAAUGUAGAUUUUCUCAACAAGCAGUUGGAAACAUUAAUGAACAAAGUCUUAGUCACCACACCUUUCUUUUUCUGUAGGAUGAAUUUUGGCCCAAACACCUCCAACGUCUAUCCAUCUCAUUUCAAGCCAUCUAAUCCAAUUCUAUCCCACAAACAAUGUCAUAUAGCUAAAACUAACUAGUUAGUCCCAUCUUUAAUUUCAUGCAAGGCAAUCCUAUUAUUUAUUCUCAUUAUUAAAACAAAAACAAACAGCACUCUUUUGCAUGUUAUAAUUCCAAUACAAAGCUCAGGAGCAGAUUAGCCACUUUGUAAAUAUGUACCUAGCUUGGAUAGGGAGAGAGAAUUCUGGGUUUAAUCAAGAUGUUAAAUAAUCAGUUAGACCCAUAUCACUUAAGAUUUCAGAAGGUUUCUUUGAACUCUCUUCCUUAAAUGUUUCUUAAACGUUUCCUCUUCACUCUCAGAAAUGCAAAAUGUCAAAGAUCUGGUACCAUUCUAUGCAACUUAUUCAAUCAUUCCUGAUUUUUAGGUUAUCUCAGUAAAGGGGAAACAGGUUUUGAGAGGCCAAACAUGAGCACACUCAUGUGAUCCACCAGUUCAAUGCAGUCUGCAUUCUUAUGUAAGUCCCCGGCACAUAGCCCUUAUUUUCCACUGUCACUAUAAAACCUCUGCCCUCCCACCACAGGGCAUAGAAAUCUGUUUUGGUCCUGCUGCCACCUAGGACUCGCUCCAUCUAUAAGUCUCCCCAAUAACCCUUUGCUACUGCCCUAGAGUUGCCUGCCUCUUUCUUUGGUCUCUUGGCAUCCUCCACUUUUGGAAGCAAGUUUCACAUUAUUGGUCCAUGCCUGGAUGCUCAGACUGUAUCUUGCUACUCCACUUCAGUAAAUCCAAUAAAACUAGUGUUUUGAUAUUGAAAAUAAAAUUCAGUAAGUUUUCAAUAAAUAUUUUAAGCAUGCAUUAUGUGACAAGUACUAUGUUAAGUCUGGGAUACAGUGGCAAACAAGAUACAGUCACUUAACUAAAGGGGCUCACAGUCUAGUGAGGGAAGUAGACAAGUAAAAAGACAAUUAUAAUUCAGGAUGAAUAGUGCCACAAGAGAUGUUCCAAGAGACUGCAGAAAAGGUACCUAACCCAGUUCAAGGAGCAGUGUGAUGGAUGUCAAGGAAGGUUCCUUAGAUGAAGUGACCUCCAAGCUGAUCCCUGAAAAACAAAGAGGGCAAGGAGUGGUGGGGAAGGAAUAUCCCUGGCAGAGGCAUCAGUAUUUACUAACCACAUGUUAGAAGAACACGAAAACGUGUUCAGUAUGACUGAAGUGGAGGUGGGAUUCCAAGGGAAGAAAUGAGCCCUGAUGAUGAAGGGCUCUGGCAGCCGCUUCAGGGAGCUUUAAUUUUGUCCCAAAGACAAUGGGGAACCAGUUAAGGGUUUCAAGUGGCACCAUGAUAUGAUCGGAUUUGUACUUUAGAACAAUUACUGUGGCUGCCUUGAAAAAAGUAUACAGCCAUGAAGAUCAGUUAGGAAGCGAUCCAGUAAACGAUCCAUGAAUGCGAUCAAAGAGUGAUGGUGGCCUGAAUAAAGUAGGUGGAACUGAGGUAUUUUGAAGGUGGAAUUAAUAGGCCAUAGUGACUGACUGGCUGUAUAAGUGGAAAAGUUAGAAUGAUUGGCAAGUUUCUGGUUUGGGCAACUGAAGGGAUAUCUGUUAUUUACAGACAAUAUAAAAUGGCAAGCACAUGAAAGGAAAAACAGCAGGUAGGGAAGAUGAAUUCUGGAUAUGUUAAGUUUCAAAUACCCAUGGGUGUUCAAAAGGUGAUGUCUAUUAGGUAUCAAAUAAGUGUCUAAUAUGGGUCUAGAGUUCAGAAGAGAUCUCGGUUGAUCAUAGUUACAGGCACCAAUAACACAUACCUGUCAAUCAGUGAGUCCACAACCUUGGCUAUGUGCCAGAAUCAUUUUGGAGCUUUUGUUUGUUUCCGUAUUAAAUAUGUCCAGAACUUUUUCCCUACUCAUAUUAGGAGUGGGAGUGAGAACGUGACAUCCUUUAAGGUAAAAUUCACUAAAGUUGAGGCGAUAAAGGGUUUUACUGUUUUGUGUUUUGUAAAGCAUUUCAAGAAUGACAAAAGCUGCAGAGAACGUUUUUUACUGAGUAGUUUUUUACUAAUUUUAUCAUUUCUGAAAGUUAACUCACAGAAAUGGUUGUACCCCAAGUUUCCAAAUCCAUUUCACUCUAGCAAACUUGAAAUUUGCAUUUCAAAGUCUAAGAGAUAAAUUAGCAACUUAACCAUCCAUAGGCACUCAUUCAAAACCCUUCGAAAUACAGCUAAAAAGCAGGUUUCAAAUCCCCCAGACUAUGGCCCUAUGACAACUGUGACUUGGAACCGCAACCAUUCCCGAAAACCACCUGCCAGCCAAGCAACAGACAGGCGUAUAAAAUAAACAAUAACAGCCAGAAAGAAUGUGGUCCACAGAACAAACGACUACACGAAACCAAAAGAGCAAUAUUGGCACCAUCCCCCCAAAAAAGAUGAGGAGGCAGGAAGUGGUAGAAAAACCAGACAAAAGUAAAUGGGGAACCCAAGGCGGAAAUGGGGAACACAAGGCAGAAAUGGGGAACCCAAGGCGGAAAUGGGGAGAGUGUUGACAGAGUGUGGGGACUGCAACCAAUGUCAUGUAAUACUUUGCAUACAAUGUGUUGAACAGGAAACUAAUUUGCUCUGUAAAUUUUCACCUAAAACACAACGAAAUAUUUAAAAAGUCUUAGAAAGGUACAAUGAUUAAAACUGUGUAUAUUACAAAAAUUUAAAAAGCAGUUUUCAUUUCUUAUAGACACUGCUCUCGUCCAUUAACUUCUGAUGAGCUCUGUUUUCUCAUCUGGAGAAACUAAGCCUUUGGUGGAAUUGUUUUUUUCCCUUUUAAUGUGUAAACUGGCUAAUUUCAUGAUCUUUAUUUUAUACUUUUAUCAUUCUAAGUAAGAAACAAUAAUCAAUGAAGUAAAGGAUAAGGUUAUCUUUACACAUUCUCUUCCCACCUCUAAACAAAGACUUCACUAAAUCCUGUAAUUAGUCAACAAAAGUGGUAAUACGUAUGUUGAACUUCCUACCCCCUCAUGGAGCAAAGGAACAAUAAAUCAUUCAAGGGCUAAAACAAGCAAAAGUUAAAAAGUCAAGAAUGGGGCUUACUGGUUUAUUAAAGAUUAAGCACUGGCUAUUUGGAAUGUAGCUCACCUGAACCUAAAAUUUAGAUUUCUCUCUCCAUUCUGGCCCAUCAUCUUGGUCCACUUACAAAAGUAGGCAUUUAGAAUAAACACACACGUUCCUGUUGCACUCCCAAAUAUAUUUAUAAAAUAUACAUAACGUCUAUUCCUAAUUCAGCCAUUCCCAAUGCUGCUUUUUAGGCUGAACCAUUCUUUAUUACAGAAUUAAAAGAUCCAAAAGCACAUGACAUUAUGUAUUUGUCAGAACCCACAGGCCUGUAGAACGCAGUGAGCCCUAAUGUUAACUAUGGACUUCAAUGAUAAUCAUGUAUCUAUACUGGUUCAUCCAUUCUAACAAAUGUACCACAGGAAAGCGAGACGUUAAUAAUCAGAGGAACUGCCUGAGGAGGAGAAGGGGUAUAUGUGAACGUUCUGUAUUUUCUGCACAAUUUUCCUGUAAACCCAAAACUGCUUGAAAAAAAAAAAAAAACAGUCUAUUAAGAAAAAAGAAAAAGAAGGUCC